rnacentral:rRNA from 1 species
UACGUAGGGUGCAAGCGUUAAUCGGAAUUACUGGGCGUAAAGCGUGCGCAGGCGGUGAUGUAAGACAGAUGUGAAAUCCCCGGGCUCAACCUGGGAACUGCAUUUGUGACUGCAUCGCUGGAGUGCGGCAGAGGGGGAUGGAAUUCCGCGUGUAGCAGUGAAAUGCGUAGAUAUGCGGAGGAACACCGAUGGCGAAGGCAAUCCCCUGGGCCUGCACUGACGCUCAUGCACAAAGCUGGGGAGCAAACAGG